rnacentral:rRNA from 1 species
AGAGUUUGAUCCAUGGCUCAGGACGAACGCUGGCGGCGUGCUUAACACAUGUAAGUCGAACGAGGCCACUCCUUCGGGAGUGAGUCGAGUGGCGGACGGGUGAGUAACACGUGAGCGAUCUAUCCCCGUGCGGGGGACAACCCGGGGAAACCCGGGCUAAUACCGCAUGGUCAGGACUCCUGCAUGGGAGACCUGGGAAAGACGGCCUCUUUACAAUUCGUGCGGGGAGGAGCUCGCGGGCUAUCAGCUAGUUGGUGCGGUAACGGCGCACCAAGGCAGCGACGGCUAGGGGGUCUGAGAGGACGACCCCCCACAUUGGAACUGAGACACGGUCCAGACUCCUACGGGAGGCAGCAGUGGGGAAUUUUGGGCAAUGGCCGCAAGGCUGACCCAGCGACGCCGCGUGCGGGAGGACGCCUUUCGGGGUGUAAACCACUGUCAGGGGGGACGAAUUUCCGGGGUGGAAACACUGCUCCGGGUGAC